GAUGAAGAACGCAGCAAAAUGCGAUAAGUAAUGUGAAUUGCAGAAUUCAGUGAAUCAUCGAAUCUUUGAACGCACAUUGCGCCCGCCAGUAUUCUGGCGGGCAUGCCUGUUCGAGCGUCAUUUCAACCCUCAAGCACAGCUUGGUGUUGGGACUCGCGUUAAUUCGCGUUCCUCAAAUUGAUUGGCGGUCACGUCGAGCUUCCAUAGCGUAGUAGUAAAACCCUCGUUACUGGUAAUCGUCGCGGCCACGACGUUAAACCCCAACUUCUGAAUGUUGACCUCGGAUCAGGUAGGAAUACCCGCUGAACUUAAGCAUAUCAAUAAGCGGAGGA
rnacentral:misc_RNA from 1 species